GCCAUUUUUAAGUUAAUGUGCAAUAGGAGCCUAAAUAACGAAGUGAUAAGAAGAAGGAGAGCACGAUUUCCUCCAGUGCAGAAUUGUGACACAAAACGACUACAGUCAGACUAUCCACAUGCAGCAAGCCUGAAUGGAAAUUUGAGGAUCCUGGCAAGAAGUGAAGUGAUUUCAGAGACGUUCACAGGAAUACGGAAGCAGCCUUGAAACGCACAUGCUUCAAUGCAGAUGAGCUGCUGUUGUUGUAGAGUCUCGGUGUGAGGUACUGGCUGAUGAAUACUUUAUUCCAGAAGUGUUUUAAGGACAGUUUUGACAACGUUGUCAGCUGUCACAGCGUAACUGGACUUAAGGCGAUCAGAGCAACACUUAGACACCUCUCACAGCAUUGUAUUGUGUGUAUAUGUGUGUAAGUUUUGCCUACUCAGACAUCAAGGGACUUUUCUCUCCCGGCUGCUCAAGGACACACAGAAGUGCUUUUUUCCAGACGUGCUGUCACUUCAGUCAGGCUUCAGCUCUCAUCUUUCCGGUUGAAAGCAGCUGUAGCAGGAGAUGUGAGGGCAGGACUGCUCUCUGUCGUCAUAUUCACCAUGAGCCUCCCACAACCAUGAGCCUCUUUACUGUCACAAUCCUCCUGUGCAGAUCCACUCUGGGAUUUUGAAGCAUGUCCCUCAAACUGACUUCAUGCGUGGUUUGGAUGUCUUUCUUGAUCUUUGUGCUUAGCCUUAGAUAUCCAACAAAUACAAAAGCAUAAAAAUAGAAUGAGGCAAAGAUUUGCAAAUAAUGUUUCAAUAUUUUUUUUUCUUCUCUUUUUGUUAAGGUCAUAUAAAAUCAAAUUUCCUCAUUUUUUAGUUUUAAGAAAUAUUAAA